AAGUCGUAACAAGGUCUCCGUUGGUGAACCAGCGGAGGGAUCAUUAAUGAGUUGUAAAACUCCAACCAUCGCGAAUAUCACCCAUUGCAGUUGCUUCGGCGGGUGGCCCUGAGAGGGGCCACGCUCUCUUACGGGGAGCAUGCUCGCCGGAGUCGUAUAAACUCUUGUAUUUUUUGGCAUCUCUGAGUAACUUUUACAAUAAGUUAAAACUUUCAACAACGGAUCUCUUGGUUCUG
rnacentral:misc_RNA from 1 species